GGGCCCGCACAAGCGGUGGAGCAUGUGGCUUAAUUCGAGGCAACGCGAAGAACCUUACCUGGUCUUGACAUGCCCGUCAUAGUUUUCCGAAAGGAAUUCGUCAGUUCGGCUGGACGGUGCACAGGUGCUGCAUGGCUGUCGUCAGCUCGUGUCGUGAGAUGUUCGGUUAAGUCCGGCAACGAGCGCAACCCUCGUUUCCAGUUGCCAGCGGGUAAUGCCGGGGACUCUGGAAAGACAAACCUCUUGUUGAGGUGGGAAGGUGGGGACGACGUCAAGUCAGUAUGGCCCUUACGACCAGGGCUGCACACGUGCUACAAUGCCCGGCACAAUGGGAUGCAAUAUCGCGAGAUUGAGCAAAUCCACAAAACCGGGCCCAGUUCGGAUUGGAGUCUGCAACUCGACUCCAUGAAGUUGGAAUC
rnacentral:rRNA from 1 species